rnacentral:rRNA from 1 species
ACCUGUUGAUCCUGCCAGUAGCAUAUGCUGUCUCAAAGAUAAGCCAUGCAGUCUAAGUACAAGCCGCUAUGCGCGAAACCGAAUGGCUCAUAAAUCAGUUAUGUUCCUAGAUCGUACAUCCUACUGAUAACUGUGUAAUCUAGAGCUAAUACAUGCAAAGAAGCCCGACCUCACGAGGGUGCUUUAUAAUCAAAACCAAUCGGCUUCGGCCCGUCCACUUGUGACUCGAAUAACUUUGAGCUGAUCGCACGUCUCGAACCGCGACGCACUUUCAAAUGUCUGCCCUAUCAAACGUCGAUGAGGUUAUGCCCUACCAUGGUUCAACGGUAACGGAAUCAGGGUCGAUUCCGGAGAGGAGCCGAAAACGGCUACCACAUCCAAGAAGCACAGCGCGCAAAUACCCACUCCGCACGGGAGUAGUGACGAAAAUAACGAACGGACUCUCCGAGGCCCGUGAUGGAAUGAGUACACUUAAAUCCUUAACGAGACCUAUGAGGCAAGUCUGGUGCAGCACCGCUAACUCAGCUCCAAUAGCGUAUAUUAAAGUUGUGCGGUUAAAAGCUCGUAGUUGGAUUCCGGUCGCGCGGUGGUGCCGCCUUCACGUGUUCGCACUGCCCAGGCGGACAAUCAACCGACUCUAUCGGGUGCCUUAACCGGUGUCCGGGUGCCGUACGUUUACUUUGAACAAAUUAGAGUGCUCAAAGCAGUGCAUCGCGCCUGAAUAUCACAGCAUGGAAUGAUGGAAUAGGACCUCGGUCUAUUUGUUGGUUUCUGACCCGAGUAAUGGUAAUAGAGACAGACGGGCAUUCGUACUGCGACGCUAGAGUGAAAUUCUUGACCGUCGCAAGACGAACAACUGCGAAAGCAUUUGCCAAGAAUGUUUCAUUAAUCAAGAACGAAAGUUAGAGGUUCGAAGGCGAUCAGAUACCGCCCUAGUUCUAACCAUAAACGAUGCAACCAGCGAUCCGCCGAAGUUACUCCCAUGACUCGGCGGCAGCUUCCGGAAACCAAAGUUUUGGGUUCCGGGGAAGUAUGGUUGCAAGCUGAAACUUAAAGGAAUUGACGGAAGGCACACCAGAGUGAGCUGCGGCUUAAUUGACUCAACACGGAAACCUCACCAGGCCCGGACACUGGAAGGAUGACAGAUUGAGAGCUCUUUCUUGAUUCGGUGGUGGGUGCAUGCCGUUCUUAGUUGUGGAGCGAUUGUCUGGUUAUUCCGAUAACGAACGAGACUCUAGCCUGCUAAAUAGUGCGGGUCCUACCGUCCGUCACUCUUCUUAGAGGGACAAGCGGCGUCCAGCGCAUGACAGUGAGCAAUAACAGUCUGUGAUGCCUUAGAUGUCCUGGCUGCACGCGCGCUACACUGAAGGAAUCAGCGUGUCUCCUGUCGAGAGGACCGGUAACCGCUGAACCUCCUUCGUGUUGGAUUGGGACUGAAAUGAUCCCCAUGAACCAGGAAUCCCUAGUAGGCGCAAGUCACUAGCUUGCGUCGAUUACGUCCUGCCCUUUGUACACACGCCCGUCGCUACUACCGAUUGAAUGAUUUAGUGAGAACUUCGGACGACUUGUCGGCGAGCUUCGCUCUGCUUCGGCGAGACUGAAAGAUGUUCAAACUUGAUCCUUUAGAGGAAGUAAAAGUCGUAACAAGGUUCCGUAGUGAACCUGCGAAG